ACGAACGCUGGCGGCGUGCUUAACACAUGCAAGUCGAACGGAAAGGCCCUGCUUGCAGGGUAUUCGAGUGGCGAACGGGUGAGUAACACGUGGGUGAUCUGCCCUGCACUUCGGGAUAAGCCUGGGAAACUGGGUCUAAUACCGGAUAGGAGCCAUUUUUAGUGUGAUGGUUGGAAAGUUUUUUCGGUGUAGGAUGAGCUCGCGGCCUAUCAGCUUGUUGGUGGGGUAAUGGCCUACCAAGGCGGCGACGGGUAGCCGGCCUGAGAGGGUGGACGGCCACAUUGGGACUGAGAUACGGCCCAGACUCCUACGGGAGGCAGCAGUGGGGAAUAUUGCACAAUGGGCGCAAGCCUGAUGCAGCGACGCCGCGUGGGGGAUGACGGCCUUCGGGUUGUAAACUCCUUUCGCUAGGGACGAAGCUUUUUGUGACGGUACCUAGAUAAGAAGCACCGGCUAACUACGUG
rnacentral:rRNA from 1 species